ACAAAGGGCAGCGAAACCGUGAGGUCAAGCAAAUCCCAUAAAGUUGUUCUCAGUUCGGAUUGUAGUCUGCAACUCGACUACAUGAAGCUGGAAUCGCUAGUAAUCGUAGAUCAGCAUGCUACGGUGAAUACGUUCCCGGGUCUUGUACACACCGCCCGUCACACCACGAGAGUUUGUAACACCCGAAGCCGGUGGAGUAACCUUUUAGGAGCUAGCCGUCGAAGGUGGGACAAAUGAUUGGGGUGAAGUCGUAACAAGGUAGCCGUAUCGGAAGGUGCGGCUGGAUCACCUCCUUU
rnacentral:rRNA from 1 species